GCCGGGGUGGCGGAACUGGUAGACGCAGCAGACUCAAAAUCUGCCGGGGAUUACUCCCCGUGCCGGUUCGAUUCCGGCCCUCGGCA
rnacentral:tRNA from 1 species